rfam:Asian citrus Psyllid, Diaphorina citri - Florida Strain, whole genome shotgun sequence.
GCCUCGUUAGCUUGGUUGGUAGAGCGUCUGCCUUGUAUGCGCUAGUUCGCGGGUUCGAUUCCCACCCGGGGCA